CUACGGGAGGCAGCAGUGGGGAAUAUUGCACAAUGGGCGCAAGCCUGAUGCAGCGACGCCGCGUGAGGGAUGACGGCCUUCGGGUUGUAAACCUCUUUCAGUAGGUAAGAAGCGUAAGUGACGGUACCUGCAGAAGAAGCGCCGGCUAACUACGUGCCAGCAGCCGCGGUAAU
rnacentral:rRNA from 1 species